UUCUGUUCCAUUAUAAGCUAGAUGAAAGAUGGCAGAGGCUCCCUGUAGUUGUGAUCACUGAUUGGUUCUACUCUACUUUCAAUGUAAAAGACCAGAUUCUGAUAAGUUCAAUUAGUGCAAGAACAAUAACAAGCUAACUGAAAAAGUAAUCAAAGCUGCAAAAUGAAGAAAAAUGAGCAAAACUUACUAGAUGAUUGGAUGGCUCGUUUCUUGAAAGUAAUCUUGGCAAAGGCAGCACUGCUUUUCUGACCACCUAUGACAAAGAGCUUCAUGAUGUCAUACGAAAAUUGCUUCAAUAAAAAAUGUACAUAGGCAACAGUAGCAGAGAGGGAGGAGAUGUAUCAGACAAAAUAUACUUUAGUUGAAGCACAAGAUUUCUUGGCGGUGUAAAUGCA